rnacentral:lncRNA from 1 species
GCCAGGGGGCCUCACGAGGGGGCCAUAAGCCCUAGGGGCGCGCCCAAUGAGCUUGUCGCUCCCUCAUGCAGUAUCUGGCCUCCUCCCAAAGCUUCAUGGGCUCAAAAUCUUCCAAAAAAAUUAUCAAAAAGUUCCAUUGUGUUUGGACUCUAUUUUGUAUUGAUUUUCUGCAAAAGUAAAAAACACGCAAAAAACAGAAACUGACGCUGGACACUGGGUU